rnacentral:rRNA from 1 species
GUCGAACGCUUCUUUCCUCCCGAGUGCUUGCACUCAAUUGGAAAGAGGAGUGGCGGACGGGUGAGUAACACGUGGGUAACCUACCCAUCAGAGGGGGAUAACACUUGGAAACAGGUGCUAAUACCGCAUAACAGUUUAUGCCGCAUGGCAUAAGAGUGAAAGGCGCUUUCGGGUGUCGCUGAUGGAUGGACCCGCGGUGCAUUAGCUAGUUGGUGAGGUAACGGCUCACCAAGGCCACGAUGCAUAGCCGACCUGAGAGGGUGAUCGGCCACACUGGGACUGAGACACGGCCCAGACUCCUACGGGAGGCAGCAGUAGGGAAUCUUCGGCAAUGGACGAAAGUCUGACCGAGCAACGCCGCGUGAGUGAAGAAGGUUUUCGGAUCGUAAAACUCUGUUGUUAGAGAAGAACAAGGACGUUAGUAACUGAACGUCCCCUGACGGUAUCUAACCAGAAAGCCACGGCUAACUACGUGCCAGCAGCCGCGGUAAUACGUAGGUGGCAAGCGUUGUCCGGAUUUAUUGGGCGUAAAGCGAGCGCAGGCGGUUUCUUAAGUCUGAUGUGAAAGCCCCCGGCUCAACCGGGGAGGGUCAUUGGAAACUGGGAGACUUGAGUG